rnacentral:rRNA from 1 species
UACGUAGGUGGCAAGCGUUGUCCGGAUUCACUGGGCGUAAGCGCGCGCAGGCGGUCUUCUACGUCUGGGGUGAAAACCCCGGGGCUCAACCCCCGGGAUGCCCUUGGAUACGGGAAGACUUAAGGAUCGGAGAGACAAGGGGAAUUCCACGUGUAGCGGUGAAAUGCGUAGAGAUGUGGAGGAACACCUGUGGCGAAGGCGCCUUGCUGGCCGAUUUCUGACGCUGAGGCGCGAAAGCGUGGGGAGCAAACAGG